CCGCCGCCACCGCCGCCGCCGCCGCCAUCGCCACCUCUGUUUUUCACAAAACCCACCUCUUCAUCUGAACUUAUAUCAAAUACCACUCUCUCCGAAUCAUCCAUCAUUGCAUUCGUAACCGAAAUUCUCACAAUUCCUUGAAAUCCCCCAGAAUCUUACAUACUUUUCUUCGACCAAGAAUUUUUUUUUAAAAAAACCCACAACACUAGGGUUUGUUUUACAGAAAAAAUCCUGUGUCAGAGGUGAAUAAGGAGAUGGAUGAAUAAUGAUGAUAAAUUGAAAAUUGAAAGUGAUUGAAACCCUAAUAUACAGAAAAUUGGAAGAGAAU
rnacentral:misc_RNA from 1 species